rnacentral:rRNA from 1 species
UACGGAGGGUGCAAGCGUUAUCCGGAUUCAUUGGGUUUAAAGGGUGCGCAGGCGGGACCUUAAGUCAGUGGUGAAAUCCCUUCGCUUAACGAAGGAACUGCCAUUGAUACUGAGGUUCUUGAAUGUAGUUGACGUUAGUGGAAUGUGUCAUGUAGCGGUGAAAUGCUUAGAUAUGACACAGAACACCGAUCGCGAAGGCAGCUAACGAAGCUAUUAUUGACGCUCAGGCACGACAGCAUGGGGAGCAAACAGG